ensembl:snRNA U2 U2 spliceosomal RNA
AUUGCUUCUCAGCCUUUUGGUUAAGAUCAAGUGUAGUACCUGUUCUCACUAGUUUCAUAGCGUAAAACAUGGUCUUUUGUAUCUGGCUUCUUUCACUUAACAUAAUGUUUUCAAAGUCAAUCCAU